rnacentral:rRNA from 1 species
UACGUAGGGCGCAAGCGUUGUCCGGAAUUAUUGGGCGUAAAGAGCUCGUAGGCGGUUUGUCGCGUCUGCUGUGAAAACGCGAGGCUUAACCUCGCGCCUGCGGUGGGUACGGGCAGACUAGAGUUCGGUAGGGGAGACUGGAAUUCCUGGUGUAGCGGUGGAAUGCGCAGAUAUCAGGAGGAACACCGGUGGCGAAGGCGGGUCUCUGGGCCGUUACUGACGCUGAGGAGCGAAAGCAUGGGGAGCGAACAGG